rnacentral:rRNA from 1 species
AUUGAACGCUGGCGGCAUGCCUUACACAUGCGAGUCGAACGGUAACAGGUCUUCGGAUGCUGACGAGUGGCGAACGGGUGAGUAAUACAUCGGAACGUGCCCGAUCGUGGGGGAUAACGGAGCGAAAGCUUUGCUAAUACCGCAUACGAUCUACGGAUGAAAGCAGGGGACCGCAAGGCCUUGCGCGGACGGAGCGGCCGAUGGCAGAUUAGGUAGUUGGUGGGAUAAAAGCUUACCAAGCCGACGAUCUGUAGCUGGUCUGAGAGGACGACCAGCCACACUGGGACUGAGACACGGCCCAGACUCCUACGGGAGGCAGCAGUGGGGAAUUUUGGACAAUGGGCGAAAGCCUGAUCCAGCCAUGCCGCGUGCAGGAUGAAGGCCUUCGGGUUGUAAACUGCUUUUGUACGGAACGAAAAGACUCUUUCUAAUAAAGAGGGCCCAUGACGGUACCGUAAGAAUAAGCACCGGCUAACUACGUG